GAUGAACGCUGGCGGCGUGCCUAAUACAUGCAAGUCGAGCGAAUGGAUUAAGAGCUUGCUCUUAUGAAGUUAGCGGCGGACGGGUGAGUAACACGUGAGUAACCUGCCCAUAAGACUGGGAUAACUCCGGGAAACCGGGGCUAGUACCGGAUAACAUUUUGAACCGCAUGGUUCGAAAUUGAAAGGCGGCUUCGGCUGUCACUUUUGGAUGGACCCGCGUCGCAUUAGCUAGUGGGUGAGGUAACGGCUCACCAAGGCAACGAUGCGGAGCCGACCUGAGAGGGUGAUCGGCCACACUGGGACUGGGACACGGCCCAGACUCCUACGGGAGGCAGCAGUAGGGAAUCUUCCGCAAUGGACGAAAGUCUGACGGAGCAACGCCGCGUGAGUGAUGAAGGCUUUCGGGUCGUAAAACUCUGUUGUUAGGGAAGAACAAGUGCUAGUUGAAUAAGCUGGCACCUUGACGGUACCUAACCAGAAAGCCACGGCUAACUACAUGCCAGCCGCCGCCGUAA
rnacentral:rRNA from 1 species